rnacentral:rRNA from 1 species
AGGGCACCACCAGGAGUGGAGCCUGCGGCUUAAUUUGACCCAACACGGGAAAACUCACCCGGCCCGGACACUGGAAGGAUUGACAGAUUGAGAGCUCUUUCUUGAUUCAGUGGGUGGUGGUGCAUGGCCGUUCUUAGUUGGUGGAGCGAUUUGUCUGGUUAAUUCCGAUAACGAACGAGACUCUAGCCUACUAAAUAGAUCGUUGUUUUACAAACAACAGCGAGACUUCUUAGAGGGACAGGCGGUGAUUCAACCGCACGAAACAGAGCAAUAACAGGUCUGUGAUGCCCUUAGAUGUCCGGGGCCGCACGCGCGCUACACUGAAGUGAUCAGCGUGCUUUUUUAAUCUAGUCUGUCAAGACCAGGAAACCCCCUGAACCUUCUUCGUGAUUGGGAUAGGAGAUUGUCAUUUUUCCCCCCAGAACCAAGAAUUCCACGUAUCCCCCACUAAAACCCCCCCGUUGAUGCCUCGGUGCUUACCCACUCCCCCCCCCCGCUAAUCCACUUGAUUGGUGACAG